rfam:Basidiobolus meristosporus CBS 931.73 K493scaffold_1, whole genome shotgun sequence.
AUCCUCUCAGGCCUUUUGGCUAAGAUCAAGUGUAGUAUCUGUUCUUUUCAGCUUAAUAUCUGAAACACUGGACAUAGUCCAGUUCGAUAUUAAACUUAUUUUUGAACAUCGGGUGAUAAGUCCCUGCUUGCACACUUGUCUGCCCACAGGUGUCCCUAGUAUUGCACUACCUCUAGGUGACGCCGAGCCCUU